UGCAAAAAAAAAAAAAAAAAAGAUCUAGUUACUGAAUUAACAACAGCGACUGGCUGAUGACAUUAAGACCCAAACAUCUGGCUGAAUGUCAAAUCUGAAAGCAGCUGAGGGAGCAGGGAGCCCAGCCCAGCCCUAACAGCACAGUCAGCCCCAAGGAUAUUGAUUGGCACAGAGCCCACUCACUCCUCAUUAGGGCUUCAUGGGUGCCAGCAGGAUCUAGUUACCCUAAUCUGCCUUGUUUGGGUCCCCACCCAUGUGCCUUUUACCCCUGGGUCUGGGAACUGCAUUUAAGGCCAGACCUUGGCUCCUUUAUCCUUUUAUGAACCCUGUAGGGGGGCUUGCAUCAAACUCAGUUGGGUUCUGCUUUUUUCCUAGGCUGUCUGCAGCCUUGUUUCAUUGCUUGUUUGGUGAUGUGGAUGGAUAGCUGACCUUUUUUUGAAGUUCCUGGACCUAUCUGCCUUUCUCGCUUGGGUGCCAUGGGAUUGCACUAUUGUUGGUGCAAACAAGACCCAGAAGAUGAUGUCCUGGAAAGCUCUCAGCCUAAACAGGUGGUCCAUGGACGAUGGCAAGCUCCCUCUGUGCCAGUGAGAAGGAGACGGCCUCCCUCUGUGAUGUGUCCAGCGAGUCAUUGUAAAACUUUAAAGGCUCUGGGGAGACUAGCAAGAGAUUUCUCAGCCCUAACUUGGGUUCUUGCUGAGAAAUAAAUCCAUGAAUAUAAACCAGAUGCUCCCAGUGGCUGGGCCAUGUCUAUUAGAUAAUGAGAGUAACUUGACUGGGGAGUGAGGCAUG